rnacentral:rRNA from 1 species
CACGUAGGGUGCGAGCGUUGUCCGGAAUUAUUAGGGCGUAAAGAGCUCGUAGGCGGUGUGUCGCGUCGGCCGUGAAAACCUGCAGCUUAACUGUGGGCGUGCGGUCGAUACGGGCAUCACUGGAGUUCGGCAGGGGAGACUGGAAUUCCUGGUGUAGCGGUGAAAUGCGCAGAUAUCAGGAGGAACACCGGUGGCGAAGGCGGGUCUCUGGGCCGUAACUGACGCUGAGGAGCGAAAGCAUGGGGAGCGAACAGG